GAUUAGAUACCGUCGUAGUCUUAACUAUAAACUAUGCCGACCAGGGAUAUGAGUUGUUAUGAAUAGAUUUUAUUUAUUCAAUUUCCUCUUGUGGACCUUGUGAGAAAUCAUAAGUUUUUGGGUUCUGGGGGGAGUAUGGUCGCAAGGCUGAAACUUAAAGGAAUUGACGGAGGGGCACCACCAGGAGUGGAGCGUGCGGCUUAAUUUGACUCAACACGGGAAAACUUACCAGGUCCAGACAUUAGAAGGAUUGACAGAUUGAUAGCUCUUUCAUGAUUUAAUGGGUGGUGGUGCAUGGCCGUUCUUAGUUGGUGGAGUGAUUUGUCUGGUUAAUUCCGAUAACGAACGAGACCUUUACCAUACUAAAUAGUUUGAUUUAUUCAUUUAUGAAUAGAUUUAUAUUUUAUAAACUUCUUAGAGGGACUAUUGGUUCUUAAACCAAAGGAAGUAAAGGCGAUAACAGGUCUGUGAUGCCCUUAGAUGUUCUGGGCUGCACGCGCGCUACAAUGAUAAACUCAACGAGUAUUUAAUAUUUAUUUAUUAUAUUGCUGUAUUGGAAAGUAUGGCUAAUCUUAAACGUUUAUCGUGCUUGGGAUAGAUGAUUGCAAUUAUUUAUCUUGAACCAGGAAUUCCUAGUAAUCGUAUAUCAUCAGUGUGCGAUGAUUACGUCCCUGCCCCUUGUACACACCGCCCGUCGCUGCUACCGAUUGGAUGAUCCGGUGAAAUCCUCGGAUAAUGAUAAAUACUUUACUUUGUAAAGUUUAUCGUUAGAAGUUGAUUAAACCUUAUCAUCUAGAGGAAGCAAAAGUCGUAACAAGGUUUCCGUAGGUGAACCUGCAGAAGGAUCA
rnacentral:rRNA from 1 species